GGAAAUUAUCCAGAGUAUCGUAUUUAUUUUUUUACCACUAGGAGAAAGAGUGCAUCUGACUAACCAGUCUAUUACUACUAACCUUUUAGGCACAAAGAAUGUCUUUCGAUGUGAGUGAUAAAUAGAGAAGACUGCAACCGUAGUCUCCUUCUAACCUUGGUAAGGAUGAUCUACUGUUCUAAUGGGGAGCCUAACGGAAUCUAGACACCACAAAGGAUGUUCAACCCGCACCUAUAAACCCUAUACUUCCUGCUAAUGAGA
rnacentral:lncRNA from 1 species